GGAUAACGUUUGGAAACGAACGCUAAUACCGCAUGAUAUUAUCUUAUCGCAUGAUAGGAUGAUCAAAGGAGUGAUCCGCUGAAAGAUGGGCUCGCGUCCGAUUAGGUAGUUGGUGAGGUAACGGCCCACCAAGCCGACGAUCGGUAGCCGGACUGAGAGGUUGGACGGCCACAUUGGGACUGAGACACGGCCCAGACUCCUACGGGAGGCAGCAGUAAGGGAUAUUGGUCAAUGGGGGAAACCUUGAACCAGCAACGCCGCGUGAGGGAAGACGGUUUUCGGAUUGUAAACCUCUGUCCUCUGUGAAGAUGAUGACGGUAGCAGAGGAGGAAGCUCCGGCUAACUACGUGCCAGCAGCCGCGGUAAUACGUAGGGAGCGAGCGUUGUCCGGAUUUACUGGGUGUAAAGGGUGCGUAGGCGGCUAUGCAAGUCAGUAGUGAAAUCCAUGGGCUUAACCCAUGAACUGCUAUUGAAACUGCACAGCUUGAGUGAAGUAGAGGUAGGCGGAAUUCCCGGUGUAGCGGUGAAAUGCGUAGAGAUCGGGAGGAACACCAGUGGCGAAGGCGGCCUACUGGGCUUUAACUGACGCUGAGGCACGAAAGCGUGGGUAGCAAACAGGAUUAGAUACCCUGGUAGUCCACGCUGUAAACGAUGAUUACUAGGUGUGGGGGGACUGAACCCUUCCGUGCCGGA
rnacentral:rRNA from 1 species